rnacentral:rRNA from 1 species
GACGAACGCUGGCGGCGUGCCUAAUACAUGCAAGUAGAACGCUGAAGGAGGAGCUUGCUUCUCUGGAUGAGUUGCGAACGGGUGAGUAACGCGUAGGUAACCUGCCUGGUAGCGGGGGAUAACUAUUAGAAACGAUAGCUAAUACCGCAUAAUAGUAGAUGUCGCAUGACAUUUGCUUAAAAGGUGCAAUUGCAUCACUACCAGAUGGACCUGCGUUGUAUUAGCUAGUUGGUGAGGUAACGGCUCACCAAGGCAACGAUACAUAGCCGACCUGAGAGGGUGAUCGGCCACACUGGGACUGAGACACGGCCCAGACUCCUACGGGAGGCAGCAGUAGGGAAUCUUCGGCAAGGGACGGAAGUCUGACCGAGCAACGCCGCGUGAGUGAAGAAGGUUUUCGGAUCGUAAAGCUCUGUUGUAAGAGAAGAACGAGUGUGAGAGUGGAAAGUUCACACUGUGACGGUAUCUUACCAGAAAGGGACGGCUAACUACGUG